GAUGAACGCUGGCGGCGUGCCUAAUACAUGCAAGUCGAACGCUGGAGAUCUAGCUUGCUAGAUCGAAGGAGUGGCGAACGGGUGAGUAAUACAUAAGCAACCUACCCACGAAGACUGGGAUAAUCUCUGGAAACGGGGACUAAUACCGGAUAGGUAAUCGGAAGGCAUCUUCUGGUUAUUAAAGGUUAAAAACACUGGUGGCUGGGCUUAUGGCGCAUUAGUUAGUUGGUGAGGUAACGGCCCACCAAGACGAUGAUGCGUAGCCGGCCUGAGAGGGCGAACGGCCACAUUGGGACUGAGACACGGCCCAGACUCCUACGGGAGGCAGCAGUAGGGAAUUUUCGGCAAUGGGGGCAACCCUGACCGAGCAACGCCGCGUGAGUGAAGACGGCCUUCGGGUUGUAAAGCUCUGUUGUAAGGGAAGAACGGUAGAUAGAGAAUAUCUAAGUGACGGUACCUUACCAGAAAGCCACGGCUAACUACGUGCCAGCAGCCGCGGUAAUACGUAGGUGGCGAGCGUUAUCCGGAAUUAUUGGGCGUAAAGGGUGCGUAGGCGGCCUGUUAAGUAAGUGGUUAAAUUGUUGGGCUCAACCCAAUCCAGCCACUUAAACUGGCAGGCUAGAGUAUUGGAGAGGCAAGUGGAAUUCCAUGUGUAGCGGUAAAAUGCGUAGAUAUAUGGAGGAACACCAGUGGCGAAGGCGGCUUGCUAGCCAAAGACUGACGCUCAUGCACGAAAGCGUGGGGAGCAAAUAGG
rnacentral:rRNA from 1 species